rnacentral:lncRNA from 1 species
GCCAACUUAUUGGUGUCUAAGGAAAGCAAUGGGGGGACCCCCACCUUACUUACCUGGCCAAUUUGAUUAAGCGAUCUUGAUAUUGAAAAACCCUAAUGUUGAAAACACUAUUAAGGGCCUUCAUGCUAGGUUAAUGUUACAUCAUGAACUAUGGCUAGUUUGUUGUGUUAACAUGAGGCUUGUCAUAAGGAUUGAUAUAACAUAAUCCUGGUGCAUAGAAGAUGCUUACAACAAUUUUGAAUAUACUACUUUGUUGUGUUAACACAAGGGCAGU